GACGAACGCUGGCGGCGUGCUUAACACAUGCAAGUCGAACGGAAAGGCCCUGCUUUUGUGGGGUGCUCGAGUGGCGAACGGGUGAGUAACACGUGAGUAACCUGCCCUUGACUUUGGGAUAACUUCAGGAAACUGGGGCUAAUACCGGAUAGGAGCUCCUGCUGCAUGGUGGGGGUUGGAAAGUUUCGGCGGUUGGGGAUGGACUCGCGGCUUAUCAGCUUGUUGGUGGGGUAGUGGCUUACCAAGGCUUUGACGGGUAGCCGGCCUGAGAGGGUGACCGGCAACAUGGGGAGUGAGAAAGGCCCGAGACUCAUGGGGGGGGAAGAGGGGGGAAAUAUGGCAAAAGGGGGGAAGGCGUGAUGCAGCAACGCCGGGGGGGGGAGGCGGGUCUUGGGUUGUAAACCGGGUUGCGCCGGGGAAGAGGGGGGGGGGAGGGAAAGGGAAAAAAAAGACCCGGAAAACUAGGGG
rnacentral:rRNA from 1 species